CCCCUUGGUUCUGCCAUGUAUGAGUCUGGGGGAAAAACCUCUCCCUUCCUACUGCUUGCAUUUUUUAUUGUUCUGGAGGGAGCUCUCCAGAUAUAUAUUCUAAGGCCAGCACAAUUUGCCCCACCGACAAUCACCUCCACGUCUUAUUUUACACUUCUGAAGGACCCUUAUAUAUUAGUAGCAGC